AAAGGGAGACCUAAUUCGGGUAGAAGACGAAAAAAUAGUAGUCGAAACCAAGAAUCAAUCCCAAAAGGUCGGAACGAGGUAUGAGGCUUUCAAACUAGGUUCUGGGUUCAUAAAAGACCUGAAUCAGGAACAAGGGCUAUUAGCUCAGGUGGUUAGAGCGCACCCCUGAUAAGGGUGAGGUCCCUGGUUCGAGUCCAGGAUGGCCCACCUGCACAGGUGGCAAAAACAAGAGAAGCGAGGAAUCAGCACCUUAUCUUGUAUACAUAUAUAAGAGAGAAUGCUGGCUCUGAGUACAGAGUCCAGAGGAACCUUGAAAACUGCAUAGAGCUAGGUGAAAAAGCCAAAAAAGAAGACCGCAAG
rnacentral:tRNA from 1 species